UAACGGCUCACCAAGGCAACGAUGGGUAGCUGGUCUGAGAGGACGAUCAGCCACACUGGGACUGAGACACGGCCCAGACUCCUACGGGAGGCAGCAGUGGGGAAUCUUGCGCAAUGCGCGAAAGCGUGACGCAGCACCGCCGCGUGGGGGAAGAAGGCCUUCGGGUUGUAAACCCCUUUCAGUUGGGACGAAGCUCCGUCGGUGAAUAGCCGGCUGGGGUGACGGUACCUUCAGAAGAAGCCCCUGCUAACUACGUGCCAGCAGCCGCGGUAAUACGUAGGGGGCAAGCGUUGUCCGGAAUCAUUGGGCGUAAAGAGCGUGUAGGCGGCUCGGUAAGUCCGCUGUGAAAGUCCAGGGCUCAACCCCUGGAAUGCCGGUGGAAAACUGUCGAGCUAGAGUCCGGAAGAGGCGAGUGGUAAUUCCUGGUGUAGCGGUGAAAUG
rnacentral:rRNA from 1 species